rnacentral:rRNA from 2 species
CAUGCAAGUCGAGCGGAGAGAGGUAGCUUGCUACUGAUCUUAGCGGCGGACGGGUGAGUAAUGCUUAGGAAUCUGCCUAUUAGUGGGGGACAACAUCUCGAAAGGGAUGCUAAUACCGCAUACGUCCUACGGGAGAAAGCAGGGGAUCUUCGGACCUUGCGCUAAUAGAUGAGCCUAAGUCGGAUUAGCUAGUUGGUGGGGUAAAGGCCUACCAAGGCGACGAUCUGUAGCGGGUCUGAGAGGAUGAUCCGCCACACUGGGACUGAGACACGGCCCAGACUCCUACGGGAGGCAGCAGUGGGGAAUAUUGGACAAUGGGGGGAACCCUGAUCCAGCCAUGCCGCGUGUGUGAAGAAGGCCUUAUGGUUGUAAAGCACUUUAAGCGAGGAGGAGGCUACUUUAGUUAAUACCUAGAGAUAGUGGACGUUACUCGCAGAAUAAGCACCGGCUAACUCUGUGCCAGCAGCCGCGGUAAUACAGAGGGUGCAAGCGUUAAUCGGAUUUACUGGGCGUAAAGCGCG